GGAGAUUUGAAGUCCUUCUGAAGUUUGCGCAGCACUGCUGGAUGGCCAGGAUCUGGAAUAAAACCGUUUUAUUAGUUAUUUAAAGCUGCAAUUUGAAGAAGACCAAUGGUCUGAGUCAAGGAGAUCACAGGGACAUGGACACUGAGCUGCAGACCAGAAUAACUCCUGUAACCAUGGCGACUGUACACAAAGACGGAGACAGCUGUAGCCGAGAAACACUGAGAACACAAAUGUUUCGGUCGAUGCUCUCCUGAGAAACGCAGUGGAGUCGUUGGAUGUAAUCGUCGCUGUACCAAACCCUCAGCUUCUCUCCGGCCUCCAGCUGCCGACAGGCUCUGAAGUAGAUGUUCUUGCCGUGCUGGAACGCCGUCAGGUUCCUGUCGCUGUCGUCCGACGAGGUCCGGACGAACCUGCAGGCUGGUUGAACUCACAAUCCAGGAGAAGAAGCCGGAGGAUUUGUCUUUGGACACCAGCUCCCCGUCGUACGGACCGAACAGCGCCCCCUUUGGGAUGGUCGCAUCCAGGCAGCGGACGUCCACCUCGUCCCCCUCAGUGAAGACCUCCAGGCCUGACGGGACGGUGAGCGCUGCCCUGUUGGUCGUCCCUGGAACUGCAGGAGUGUCGGGGACGAACAGCGGAGGAGAACCUAAAGAGAAUGAAGAGGAGCUUACACCAGAGGUCCAGCGGCUGAUCGCUCAUGAUGGAACCAUGUUGGAGAUUCAGCAGGUCUGAGGAACAAACAGAAAAUGAUUGUUACUGAGUCUGGAAAAUAGCAGUGAAAGGUAAAAUUAUAAAUAAAAACCCAGCUGUGUUCCAUAUAGUCUUUAUAUUUUGGUUUUAGUAAAUCUAUUUUUCUGUAUAAUCUUCAUAUUUUGUAUUUAUUCACAUGACAGUGUUGUCAAUUAUUCAUUUGACUGUCUGUGCUCUGCAUAAUCUUAAUUAUUUUAGUUUUAUUACAUAUAUUUUUGAUAUAUUAUCUCUAUAAUGUGGUUAUAUUAAAUACAUUUUCUACUCUGACAACAAACAGAGACAACUUUAGUAUUUUCUAAUUAUAAAUCUAUGUUAUAUACGUAUAUACCUAAAUUAUAAAUCUAUGUUCUGUUAAUCUCCAUAUUUAGAUUUUAUUACAUACAUUUUCCAGGAUCAUCUCCAUAAUCUGGGUUUAUUAAAUAUAUUUUCUGUUCUGAUCAUAGAUAAAAUAGAAAGAUAAGUUUAGUGUUUUAUAAAUAUAAAUCCAACUCUGUGUUUUAUAUAACAUUAUUUUUUGUUUAAUAAAUACAUUUUUUCUGCACAAUGUUCAUAUUUGAGUUCUAUCAAAUGUAUAUUUCUGUAUAAUGUUAACAUUUUAGAUUUAUUAAAUAUAUUUUUCUGCA